rnacentral:tRNA from 1 species
GUGUUUUGAAAACACAUAAAAGAGGUUAAAUUCCUCUAUUAACUUACUUUACUUAUUACAAUACAU